UCACAACCACUAAUACUCCAACAAUACCUGAAGUUACAUCCACUAAUUCUCCUUUGACACCAGCAGUCACAGGUUUAUUGACACCUGCAAUCUCAUCCAAUAGUACUUCAUCAACAACUGCAGCCAUAUCAACUGGCAUACUAUCAACACCUGAGGUCAUAUCCACCAACACCCCUUUAGCAACACCUGCAGUAACUUCCACACGUCCUCUAUCAACACCUGUAGUCACAUCCAGUAGUACUCCAUCACUACCUUCUGUCACAUCCUCCACUGGUCUAUCAACACCUGAAGUUGGUCCUCUAUUAACACAUGCAGUCACAUCAACUAGUCCUCGAAUAACAAUUGCACUCACAACCACUACCACACCUGGAAUCACAUCUACUUUUACUCUAUUGCCACUUGCAGACAUAUCCACCAGUAAUUUUCCACCCCAAGUACAAUCUACCAGUGAAAUUACACCUCCCCCAUCUCCAGCAGUACAUUCCACAGGCAUCAGCACUCAAUUUAGCCCCAAAGAUACUACAGACCAUCUCUCUUCAACCACAACACAAUCCUAUGAGGACACCGCCAAGGUCACUGUGCCCAGCGAAGCUACCGGAGACAGUGGGACCACAUCUUCUGCUCCCAAGGAUCUUCAGACAGUGAUUGGUAAAAUGAAAGUGUCAAUUCUAGCUCCAGCUCAUGUAAACAACACAACUGUGGUUGAAGCUUUCCACACGCUCACCAAUGUCCUUCAGGACUAUUUAAGAAGAAAAUACAGUGAUGUCAGUUCCAUAAGAAUUAUCAGAAUCACCAAGAAAUGAGAAGUGUUCAUCUCUCCUGCUGCACGAUGACAUGCAUUUUAUUUUGUAUUUUAUUUCAUCUUUACUUGACUAGGAAGUCGCAUUGAGAUUAAAACCACUUUUACAAGUGAGACCUAGCCAAAACAAGGCAAAGCCGUAUCUUACAUGCAGUAGCCACAACACAAACCAAGGCUUCACAUAUAGCCAGGCAUCAGUUUGUUAAAAAUGCAUACAAUACACAUAAAAGUAUCCGGACAUUUACAACUUGAAACAACUUGAGAUGCCAGUAAC